GGACAGAUGGCCGAGUGGUCUAAGGCGCCGUCUUAAGGUUCCAUUGCGUAUGCAGGGUAGCCGGCGGUCUUCGGGCGUGGGUUCGAAUCCCACUCUGUUCA